CCUCCCUCUGCUCGUUGCGGCUCCUCAGGCUCCCGAGCCCGGGGGCGGCCUGUGGCGCGAGGCGCCCGCUCCGGACCGCGCUCCUUCGGACCUUAAGGAGAACAUGCAUUCGGCUUGGACAGUUUGAGAUUCUUAGUUUGGGGUCCCUGCUCGCUUGCUUUUUCCACCCCGCGGAUUUGAUUUUUUUUUUUGAGGAUUUUUUCCUCCUCUCCUCUUUUCAUUUUCUCUCCUCGGGGCUCUUUUGUGACUCCCCCCGCACCCCCCCAGAACCCCGCCUUUAUGUUCGCCCAGCCCUCCACCCGCUUCUGAGUAGUGGGGGAGGGUCUUGGCCUCCAUGUUCCCGCCCCACCGGGGUCCCGGCGAACAUGGGGGGCAAGCAGAGCACGGCGGCCCGCUCUCGGGGCCCCUUCCCGGGGGUCUCUACGGAUGACAGUGCCGUGCCGCCGCCGGGAGGGGCGCCCCACUUCGGGCACUACCGGACGGGCGGCGGGGCGAUGGGGCUGCGCAGCCGCUCGGUCAGCUCGGUGGCGGGCAUGGGCAUGGACCCCAGCACGGCCAGAGGGGUGCCCUUUAGUCUCUACACCCCCGCCUCCCACGGGACCGGCGACUCAGAGAGGGCGCCGGGAGGCGGAGGGUUCACGUCGGACUCCACCUAUGCCCACGGCAAUGGUUACCAAGAGACCGGCGGCGGUCACCAUAGAGACGGGAUGCUGUACCUGGGCUCCCAAGCCUCGCUGGCGGAUGCUCUACCUCUGCACAUCGCACCCAGGUGGUUCAGCUCGCACAGUGGUUUCAAGUGCCCCAUUUGUUCCAAGUCUGUGGCUUCCGAUGAAAUGGAAAUGCACUUUAUAAUGUGUCUGAGCAAACCUCGCCUGUCCUACAAUGAUGAUGUGCUGACUAAAGAUGCGGGUGAGUGUGUGAUCUGCCUGGAGGAGCUGCUUCAGGGGGACACGAUAGCCAGGCUGCCUUGCCUGUGCAUCUAUCACAAAAGCUGCAUAGACUCAUGGUUUGAAGUGAACAGAUCUUGUCCAGAACACCCUGCUGAUUGACCCUGCUGGGCCUGAUUACAGACUCCUCUCAAAGGGACAGCCAGCCCCUGUUCCUGGGAGGAGGCUCCUCGGACACUGGACAGAGCUGAGCUUGGGACACCAGAGAGAACAGGGCACCUUCUGCACUGACUUCCAGAAAAUGGUCCUCCCUGAGGACACCCAGUGGAUGAGAGCGAGUCUGAGAGAAGAAUGAAUUGACCUCUAUCCUUCCCCUCACCCUCGACCCAGGAGGGAAAGGGCAUUUUCUUUAUCACCUUUGAAAGGCGUUGUGGGUCUGUCUUUAAAAAGUGUUUACAAACAACAAAAAAUUCUAUA